rnacentral:tRNA from 1 species
AGGGCUGUAGUUCAAUGGCAGAGCGCUUGCCUAGCAUGCAUGAGGCACUGGGUUCAAUCCUCAGCACCACAU